GCCUGGAUGGCUCAGUCGGUUGAGCAUCUGACUUCGGCUCAGAAUGUGGUCUCGUGCUUCAUGGGUUUGAGCCCUGCGUUAGGCU
rnacentral:tRNA from 1 species